ACUUGAAGUAGAAACUGUACUUUAAAUACCAAAUUUUAACAGAAUGUAUAUGAUGCAAUAAAUCUUUUUACUUCACUUUUCACAGGGGAAGUGAAUGGGAGGCAAACCUUGGAAUAGAUAUUUACUUUGUUUCAGAAAAAGAUGUCUGCUAAAACCUGCGUCUUCUAGUUAAAUGAGAUUUUUGCAGAGUAACCCCCAAAUGAAGCUAUUAGUAGGCAAUGGGGAAGUGAGAAGAUUAACUUCCCGCUGCUGCUGGUUUGGCCCUUAACUGCUUGCUGACUCAUGGGUUUUGUCCAUCAAUAACUACACUGUGGAUCUGAUGAUUCUUUCUCACUGCAGCAUCUUACUUUUACUACCUAUGGAUGGCUUCAUGCUAACCAAAAGGUUA
rnacentral:lncRNA from 1 species